rnacentral:misc_RNA from 1 species
GAUGAAGAACGUAGCGAAAUGCGAUACUUGGUGUGAAUUGCAGAAUCCCGUGAACCAUCGAGUCUUUGAACGCAAGUUGUGCCCGAAGCCAUUAGGCCGAGGGCACGCCUGCCUGGGCGUCACACGUCGUUGCCCCCCCAUCUACUCCUUCGGGAUUGCGGGGGGCGGAUGAUGGCCUCUCGUGCGCCUCGUCGCGCGGUUGGCCUAAAUGCCAAGUCCUCGGCGACGCACGCCACGACAAUCGGUGGUUGCGAAACCUCGGUUGCCUGUCGUGUGCGGUCGUCGCGCAUCGAGGGCUCGAAAAAAUUGCCGGGCUUCGGCUCGACUUUCAACGCGACCCCAGGUCAGGCGGGGUUACCCGCUGAAUUUAAGCAUAUCAUAAGCGGAGGA